rnacentral:lncRNA from 1 species
UGAUUGCUUAUAGAUGUACAAGUGUUCGACCUCUACGGAUGGUCCACACAAAGUCCUCGGACUGAUUAGCCCUCCGCGGGAGUGCUAGCUUAUGCAGUCGACUUCUGAUGGUAGAUCUGAUUUGAUCUCCUUCUUCGAUUACCUCGGAUCUUUUUAAUGUUGAAGAUAGAUCAAAGGAGGAUGCUGGAUGAUGGAGAAAAAAUCAGAUAAAGACUUUCUUCUCUUUGAUUUUUUUCUUAUCCAGAAAUCCUAGAAUGAUUCUAGGUCUCUCACCCAAGAAAAGAUAAAUCUCCUCCUUUGGUCAUGCCAAAAAGAUAGAAAACCCACCCCAAACCUCACACCCCAAAAGAGAUGUUCGGCCUCUCUUUUUCUC